rnacentral:rRNA from 1 species
AAUAGAUACCCGGGUAGUCCUAGCAGUAAACGAUGACCACUAGGUGUGGGGGGGUGUUGACCCCUUCCGUGCCGAAGCUAACGCAUUAAGUGGUCCGCCUGGGGAGUACGGUCGCAAGACUAAAACUCAAAGGAAUUGACGGGGACCCGCACAAGCAGCGGAGCGUGUGGUUUAAUUCGAUGCAACGCGAAGAACCUUACCUGGGCUUGACAUGUACUCGCAAACCCCUGAAAGGGGGUCCUCCUUCGGGACGGGUGCACAGAUGCUGCAUGGCUGUCGUCAGCUCGUGUCGUGAGAUGUUGGGUUAAGUCCCGCAACGAGCGCAACCCUCGUCCUUAGUUGACUAUCUAAGGAGACUGCCGGAAACAAACCGGAGGAAGGUGGGAUGACGUCAAGUCAGCAUGGCUCUUACGUCCAGGGGCUACACACACGCUACAAUGGCCGCUACAGCGAGAAGCCACUCCGGCGAGGAGGAGCAGAUCUCUAAAAGGCGGCCUCAGUUCAGAUUGCACUCUGCAACCCGAGUGCA